GAUGAAGAACGUAGCAAAAUGCGAUACUUGGUGUGAAUUGCAGAAUCCCGUGAACCAUCGAGUUUUUGAACGCAAGUUGCGCCCGAAGCCUUUUGGCCGAGGGCACGUCUGCCUGGGCGUCACGCAUCGCGUCGCCCCCCACAAUUCUCCGUAAAGGGAACAUGUGUUUUGGGGGCGGAUAUUGGUCUCCCGUGCUCAUGGCGUGGUUGGCCAAAAUAGGAGUCCUUUCGAUGGACGCACGAACUAGUGGUGGUCGUAAAAACCCUCGUCUUUUGUUUCGUGCUGUUGCUCGCAAGGUAAACUCUUUAAAAACCCCAAUGUGUCGUCUCUUGACGACGCUUCGACCGCGACCCCAGGUCAGGCGGGACUACCCGCUGAGUUUAAGCAUAUCAAUAAGCGGAGGA
rnacentral:misc_RNA from 1 species